GAUUACACCUACGGGUGGCAGCAGUGGGGAAUUUUGGACAAUGGGCGAAAGCCUGAUCCAGCAAUGCCGCGUGCAGGAUGAAGGCCUUCGGGUUGUAAACUGCUUUUGUACGGAACGAAAAAGCUUCUCCUAAUACGAGAGGCCCAUGACGGUACCGUAAGAAUAAGCACCGGCUAACUACG
rnacentral:rRNA from 1 species